rnacentral:lncRNA from 1 species
AAAAAGGGCGGACAUUGUUGGCUUGGAGAAGAUGGGCAUCGACCAAGGAUUCUUGGUGCGCGCAGUCCGUACCAAAUUAGGAAGAAAGUAAAAGUUCAGGUAUUACUAAAUUUUUAUAUGCCUUUUGAAUCGAAUCUUUUGGUUAACAGGUGUUGAUGGAAAUGUAGAGUGAAGAAUCAAUAAUGGAAUUAUAAUAGAAAGCAAUGAUCGAUAUGGCAAUAAUAUUGAGGGAAUUAGACUUGAUUUAUGGAAUGUUAAAAGCUAUUGUUAUGGAAAAUAUUUUUGGAUGUAGAUUAUUACUAUUUUUAAUUAGAAGACAUCAUUGACUAGCAAUUAUAUUAAAGAUAGAAAAUAAGAUUACGUAAAAAUUGAGGAGUUCAUGGAUAGAUUCUGAUUAUACAAUAUAUUGAAAAGUAUUGUCAAGGCUUCUGCUGUGAUCUUUAAAUUAGAAGAGAUAAUGAUUAUUUGCUUAGUUAAUCAUGUGAGGAUAUAUAACUAUAGCGAUGAUGAUGAUUGAAUACAAAUGUUAGUUAAUAAAAAAAGUGACUUUCAACGUGAGAAGUCAGUGGUUAACCUUGCAAUGUUACGAAACGUUAGGUUUAUAACCAAAGCCACUGUAAUAACUUUUCUUUUUCUUUCUAUUUCAUACAAUGAUUAUUAUUUUCAGGAUAUAUUAUUAGUAUACUGGAUAUGUAUAUUGAACAUUAAGUGUAGAUUGAGAUAUUCAGAUAUGUCAUUCCCUUUACAAAUAUAGUAUUCAAUGGGUCGAAUAUAUAUUAAGAUAAGCCUCUGUAACGAUCCGAUCGGUAAUUUUGAGCUUUAACGCAUCGUUCAGCAGUUUGAGGACAUGUUUGAGGACAUGAGAAACUUCAUUUCAGGUAUUAUUACUUGUACGCGUGGCCGAAAUUUCGGGAAGUUCAGAGUUGAUUUGGAAAGAGAAUUCUCAUUUCGGAAGAUUUAAGUUGAAAGAAUUAACUAAGAUUGGAUUUCAGAGUAAACGACCUCGGAAUUGGGAUCUGAAGGUUCCAUCAAGUUCAUAUGAUGAUUUCGGACUUAGGCGUAUGCCCGGAUCAGGUUUUGGAUGACCCGAGAGUGUUUUGAUGCCUAUUGUGUAAGUUGGCAUUUUUGAAAGAAUUUCAUAAGUUUGGGUUAAAGUGCAUUUUAGUGUUAUAGAUGUCUGUAUAGGAUUCCAGAGUUCAGAGUAAACGAUCCCAGAAUCAGGAUUUGAAGGUUCCAGCAUGAUUUCAGACUUGGGGGUAAGCCCAGAUCGGGUUUGGAUGACCCGAGAACGUUUUGGCGCCUAUUGUAGAAGUUAGCAUUUUGGAAGAAAUCUCAUAAGUUUGGGUUGAAGUGUAUUUCAGUGUUAUCGAUGUCCAUUUGGGAUUCCGAUUUUGGGAGUAGCUCCUUAAGGUAAUUCUAGAGUUGGAAGCGCGAUCAAAAGUGAAUUAAGAGGUUCGUGGGUCAUUUUGGAGUCAUUUGGUUAAAGAUAGAAAUUUGAAGGUUUUCGAGAAGUUCGACUGGAAGUGGAUUUGAUAGGUUUAAACAUCGAGAGUAGAAGUUUGAAGUUCAUAAAGCUUGGAUUUGAGGUUGAUUCAUGGUUUUAGCGUUGUUUGAUGUGGUUUGAGGCCUCGAGCAAGUCCGCAAUAUGUCUUGGGACUGGUUAGCAUGAUUUGUUGGGGUCCCAGGGGCCUCGGGUGGAUUCUAGGUGGUUAACAGAUCGAAAAUGAAAAUUUGGGAAGUCUGAGGUUGCUGGUUACUGUCAUAACUGCACCUGCGAGAAUUGGGUCGUAGGUGCGGAGCCACAGAUGCGUCCAGAAGAGCCGCAGAUGCAGUUUGGACCAAAGUGAAUGGGAUCGUAGAUGCGGUCGAGGAGCCGUAGAUACGUAACUGCACCUGCGACGAUUGAGUCACAGAAGCGGAAGAGGGGCAGCUAGGUGAGGACUGUAUAUGCGAUAUUGGAAUCGCAUCUGCGGAACCGCAGAAACGGUCAAGAGAUCAUAGGUGCGGAAAGAGCUGGAGGCAGAAGGUUGUUUUAAAUUCGGGAUUUGGCCAUUUUUCUCUCAUUUUCUCUUUGUAUGGGCGAUAUUGGAGAGCUUCAAGUGGGAUUUUUCAUCAUCAACAAAAAGGUAAGCUAACUCCACCUAUUUGGAGUUAAAUAUAUUGAUUUUGUAUGGAUUUUAGCAUGUAAAUUGAUAGAAAUUUGAGGAUUUGAGGGAAAACCUAGAAAAUUAGUAUUCUUAUAUUUUGACCAUGAUUUUGGGUAUGGAAUUAAGAGAAAAUCAUAUAUUUGAGUUCGUGAGUUCUUGAGUAAACUAUAUCUUAGAAAAAUUUCGGAUUCCAGGCGCGUGGGCCCGAUGACAAUUUUGUUAACUUCUCGAUCGGGGUUAGGAAUUGUUUUGAAUGGGAUUGUAAUGAGUAAUUGAAACUAUAUUAAUGAUUUUUCAUAAUAAUUGGCUAGUUUUAAUAAGAUGUCUAUUCUUUCUUUCAGCUACCCCAUUUUGUUGGGAUGUGUAUGGACAAGAUGUUUGAUGAAUGAUCCCAUGGGAGUUCAUAAAUUGCUGAAACAGGGAAGACAAAUACUCUAGGGCAUUAUCACUACAAAAUGUGCGGAUAUAAAGCCCAAAUUGAUUUUGAAUUUCAGCAUGGAAGGUCUGAGAAAUAGAAAACAACUUAAAUCAGUUUUUCAUCAAAAAUAUCCAAGUGCACCUGAAAUAAUCAUCAAUGAAACUGGCAAAGUAGCGAAAUCCUAAGGUAGAGCUAACCGGGCUAGGACCCCAAGCAUCUGAAUGAACUAAAGUAAAAGUUGACUCUGCUCGAUUGUCAAGACGACGCGGGAAAUGGGAGCAGGUAUGCUUAACGAGAUGACACGACUCACACUCUAGAGUAGACAAGUGAGAUAAGCCAGGUACCAUUUUCUGAAGUUUUGACAAACUGGGAUGUCCUAACCGUUUAUGUAGUAAAUCACUAAAUCUGGUGAACUAGUAAUGAGAUAAGUUAUUGGAGGAAGACAAGAUGCGAGUCCAUGUGAUUUUGCAGGGAUAAGGUAAUAAAGUCCAUCUGAUUCAUGUCCGGUACCAAUGAUCCGCCAUGUAUUGCAUUCCUGUAUAAAAACAAGGUCAUCUAGAAAUAAAACAGCAGAUUUAAGUGAUUUGGCUAAGCGACUAACGGCUAUGAGAUUAAAAGGANN